rnacentral:lncRNA from 1 species
GGACAAGGCAGGAACUCCACCUCUUCCCUUCACUCCUGUUAUUUCUCAUCCUUUCCAGGCCGCUGGAGAGGACCGUCCCAGCAAGGUGUCCUGAGGAAAGGACCCUGGAACCAACAGGCAAGACCCCGUGUUCCUGCAUUCAGAGGGGAGUAGAGAGGACCAGUGUCCACAUGCAGCUCCUCUGGCCAUCCAGGCUGAGGCUUGUACAAUAGAGAGGGCCUCUGGGGACAUGUAGGAAGAAAGCCAGGCGGCGGGUAGGGACGAGCAGAGAGGCCCUGUCGACACAGCCGCUCCGCAGGGCUCUUGGUGCCCAUACUGCACACCGCUCAGCCACAUCAGGCAGCUGCCCACCAGGGACAGUCCUUGCUCGCUGUCAGCUGCCAGCCAUUGCGGGGGCGCUCUUCAUACCAACUCCAUGCUCAGAACCCUCUGGACACCUGAGAAAGGUCCUGAGAGAAACGGGACAGUCCUUGAGCCAUGUGACAGGGCUCCCUCACAGGAAAACGAUCGACAAAAGCCAGGAGCUGGAGGAGCCCACCUAGGCAGUGCCACUAUAACCAUCACGUCCAGCAGGCAGCACCCAUGCCAGGCCCUGUGGGGAAGCAUGGCCUGCAGGUUGCAGCUAGGCCUUGCCCACAGAGAGGCUCUGCCAGGGACCCAACAUCACGAAUCCAGACCCGGUGUUCUGGUAGCUGCUUUUCUCUCCCUGAAGCCUUCUCUGGCACACAGGUGGGCAGGCUGGCCAGCAGCAUGGCCUUGGCCUGUCUGCCUGCAUUUUCUGACUCCCAGUUAUACCUGGGCACCAUUCCCUGUAUCUCAGAUCUGUCCCAGUUUGGGCACAAGAUAAACUCAUUUCCUUCCUGUGCCAGUGAGCUCAGACACCAAGACACUGUGGAGGAAGGCAGGACUGCGGGUGUGGGGAGAGCCAGGUGCUCGGGAGCAUGGGGUAGGCUCCAGGUGAGGAGCUGGGCCCACACACUGCCGCUGUCUGCAGACAGCAGAUGGCUCUGGGCCUGUGUUUUCCAGAGCCUCAUACCUGGAACUUGGCCCCUGCCUCCUCCUGGUGUCCUCCUCCUGAACACCAGGUACGUGUUCAGCUCAUGGAGGACAGGCAGGCCGUCCUCAUCUUGGCUGCACCCCAGGACUUGUGCUUGUCUGUGGUGCAGCUCCAGCUGAUGCCAAAGUGGCACAGGGAGAACCUCUGGGACCAGCAAGGGUCCCUGGGCUUCUGUAAGCAGCACCCAUGCCAGGCCCUGUGCAGCCUCACCUCAGCCACCUGUGGGCUCAUCUGAGUGUUUGCACCUCUUUGUUUUCCUGCAUGUGGGACUCCUGGUGCAGCUGGAGGCAAGUAUCAUAGGACUCUUCUGUUCUGUCGGGGGCAACACCCUGUGCACCUUAGUGACCCAUGUACUGCUGUUAACAGUCAUGUUCUGGCCUCUUGUGCUGUGGCAGAUACUCUCCCUAGUCCAAUUUUUCCCACUAUAAUUUGUAUUGUCCAAAAAUUUAACUCUCCAGCUAGCCAGAGUCGCUCCACGUGUCUUCAACCUUGGGGUGAAACUGUUUGCGGCUUUUGUGACUCACUCUGUCCUUGGCUCCCUCCACCCUGAGGGCUGCCUUGCGGGGCCACCACAGCUCUGGUCACCAAGCCUGCCUGUCCCUGCUGCUCAUGGACAUGUGUCCUCCUGGAGUGGACGUCUGCUGUGUUCCAUUGUGCCUCCUGCAGUUUGGGGUGUGCUCAAGAUUCCUUCAAGGAGGAGGCCACUGGCUUCCUCUCCAGGGAAAGUGAGGAUGCCCCUUCCCAGGUCUCCCCAGUACAGGGUGGGACCCCAGCAGGCCACUGCCCCCAGUGAAAGUCUUUAGGAUGCUCCCAUUAACCAAACUCGUGAGAACCUGACACACACGAGAAAACGAAUCACUGCCUUGUAAUGGGAUUGCCCCUUCCCAGAGACGGAACACCACCCGCCCUUCUGGCUCCAGGCAGCUGGGAGGGAGGCUAGUUGGAGUUUGGUCAGUUGUGCAUCACCUGCAGUCAGGACUUCAGGGAAGCCUGGGAGGUGUUCUGGGCUCCCCCCUGGCACCCUGUCAUCCCCAGCCCCCCUCCCUGAAUUCCAGAUAACAUGCAGACCCAUGUGUCCUUGCUCACACAUCCUUCAUUUUGGGCUAUAGUUCUCAGCAAGGGGCAAUUCUGACAUCAGGGAACACUUGGCAAUGUGGGGACAACUUUGUCAAUAACUGGGAGGACCUGGUGGGUGAAGGGCAGGGAUGCUACUGAGCAUCCUGCGCAUACAGGCCAGCCCCCAAGACGGCUAACAAGAGGUACAUGUACCCCAAAGGACAGUGGGCCCCAGGGCCAGGAGCUGUGGCAGGCUGAGGGAUGGUCCACAAGCCCACGCAGCAGCCAAGAGCAGCUGAGGUGUGUUUUGUUUGGGUACUAGGAGUUGAACCUAGGGUGCUUUAUCACUGAGCUACAAACCCAACACUUUAUUUUGACGUUCUCAGAUUGGCCAGGCUGGCCUUGAACUUGAUGAUUCUCCUGCUUCGGCCUUUUAAGUCCUGGGAUUCGCCAACAUGUGCAGCCACACUCAUCUCUCCUGCUCUUUUUCUUUUUGAGUAAAGGGCAUUUUAUUCAGUAAAUAAUGCAAUUUGGAUAUUUACAUUGAUUAUGAAACUUUACCAGUUCCAGGUUUAUUUAACUGGCCAGAAAGGCAGCCAAGGUUUAGUGUCCCACUGAGAGCACACCAGGGGCCAGAGCCCGACUCAGCCUGCAGUGCCAACCUCGAAGUCACCACAGCUGCCCUGUCCAACCACUAAUGCACUCCAGGGGGCCUGGUCGCCUGCUCCACCUUCUCCCCACCAGCAGUAUUUGCCACCUCCAAAGUCAGUGUCCAGUUGGAGCCAGCACAGGCCUCAUAAGGCACGAUGGGCAGCCCCCAGGACCACUGGGGUCAGGACCCCAGAGGAAGGGGGACAAUCAGUCUGCAGCCCACUCUCCUGCUCAGGAACUGAACCCACAUGAGGAUUUUGAGUUGUCCCAGGCUUGCUGUCCACCAGGGCCCUGGUGGUCCUGUUUAGAGGACUCCUCCUCCCCAGCUGCAGGUCAAUCUCUCAGCUCUUGUCCUGGACACCACCUUGUCACAGGAGAGUAAGGAGCAGGAGCUCCAAACCUCAGUUCUGUGUCCUGGCGAAAGAAAAUCUAAAGUCAGACAUGAAAAGCUAAGCACAGGAAUGUUAUGAGUGAUUCGUAAGUAGAUAAAGAUGGUGAACAAAUGACCCUCCAGAUUCUGGAUAUACCUUCUAAAAGGAGAUGGUGAGGGCUGGGGUUGUGGCUCAACAGUAGAGCGCUCGCCUCACCCUGGGUUC